UUCAUUUUGAGGUUUGUCAUUCCAAGCUAGUUCGAUAGCAGUACUCCAUGAUAAGUCAAGAUGAACUAGUUCCUCAUGAAAAAAAUUGGUUGGUAGAAUUUUCAAAGGGCAGUGACACCAACGGAACCAUCUUAAUUUAGAAGGAAGAUGCGAAAAAUCCCCAUUGAGGUUUCUCGAGUAAUGUCAACUCCGAGAAAUCUUAAUUUGGGCAUCUUCACAAAGUCUUCAAAGCUUAAAUCAUCUAUGCGCACUUCAAAUGGAAGGAGGAUACCUUCAACCAUUUGUGUUCCCUACAGUAGAAAAAUAGUAUUCCAAGUAAAGAAAAUUUGAUGCACACACAUC